rnacentral:rRNA from 1 species
UUGAACGCUGGCGGCAUGCCUUACACCUGCAAGUCGAACGGUAACAGGUCUUCGGAUGCUGACGAGUGGCGAACGGGUGAGUAAUACAUCGGAACGUGCCCGAUCGUGGGGGAUAACGCGGCGAAAGCUUUGCUAAUACCGCAUACGAUCUACGGAUGAAAGCGGGGGAUCUUCGGACCUCGCGCGGACGGAGCGGCCGAUGGCAGAUUAGGUAGUUGGUGGGAUAAAAGCUUACCAAGCCGACGAUCUGUAGCUGGUCUGAGAGGAUGAUCAGCCACACUGGGACUGAGACACGGCCCAGACUCCUACGGGAGGCAGCAGUGGGGAAUUUUGGACAAUGGGCGAAAGCCUGAUCCAGCCAUGCCGCGUGCAGGAUGAAGGCCUUCGGGUUGUAAACUGCUUUUGUACGGAACGAAAAGCCUCUUUCUAAUAAAGAGGGGUCAUGACGGUACCGUAAGAAUAAGCACCGGCUAACUACGU